AUUGAACGCUGGCGGCAUGCUUUACACAUGCAAGUCGAGCGGCAGCGCGGGGGCAACCCUGGCGGCGAGCGGCGAACGGGUGAGUAACACAUCGGAACGUACCCUGUUGUGGGGGAUAGCUCGGCGAAAGCCGGAUUAAUACCGCAUACGACCUGAGGGUGAAAGUGGGGGAUCGCAAGACCUCACGCGACAGGAGCGGCCGAUGGCGGAUUAGCUAGUUGGUAAGGUAAUGGCUUACCAAGGCUACGAUCUGUAACCGGUCUAAGAGGACGGUCGGUCACACUGACACUGAACAACGGGUCAGACUCCUACGGGAGGCAGCAGUCGGGAAUUUUGGGCAAUGGGCGAAAGCCUGACCCAGCAACGCCGCGUGAAGGAUGAAGUAUUUCGGUAUGUAAACUUCGAAAGAAUGGGAAGAAUAAAUGACGGUACCAUUUAUAAGGUCCGGCUAACUACGUG
rnacentral:rRNA from 1 species